rnacentral:rRNA from 1 species
CGGGGGGAGCAAGCGUUGUUCGGAUUUACUGGGCGUAAAGGGCGCGUAGGCGGCGUGACAAGUCACUUGUGAAAUCUCCGGGCUUAACCCGGAGCGGCCAAGUGAUACUGUCGUGCUAGAGUGCGGAAGGGGCUACUGGAAUUCUCGGUGUAGCGGUGAAAUGCGUAGAUAUCGAGAGGAACACCUGCGGCGAAGGCGGGUAGCUGGGCCGACACUGACGCUGAUGCGCGAAAGCCAGGGGGAGCGAACGGGAUUAGAUACCCCGGUAGUCCUGGCCUUAAACGAUGGAUACUUGGUGUCCGGGGUUACAUAGUCCCCGGGUGCCGGCGCUAACGCAUUAAGCAUUCCGCCUGGGGAGUACGGUCGCAAGACUG